CCCUCAGCCGCCGGCCCUCCAGUCUCACAAAACAACAAAUCUCGACGUCCGUCGCCCCGGUGGACGGGGGACUUGCACUUGACCCAGCGCUGCUUUCGGGAAAAGCCGUUCGGCAGAGAGCCAGCCUCCAUUUCCCUCCCGUCGCUGGACCAGCGCCCCCUGCGUUCCUGGCUUCGGGACCUGGUACCAUUCACCCGAGUCCUCUUUCUGAAGGAGGUGCCAAGUCCUUGGUGGGACAAAGCGAGACACUUAGAAUUUCCGGUGUGCUUCAUUCUUUCCUGAUGAUCCAAGUUUUCAUCUAACAGUAUUUCCUGUCAACAUGAAGCUCUCCCUUUAUUGUACCUUGUUGUGCAGGGGGCAGACAGUUUAUUUCCAGUAACGAGACAGCAAGCAUAGUGCUGGACACAUCUCAGACCUUGACCACCUGUGCACUGAGUGGAAAAGCACACACGGGACAGUUCUGAUGAUUGGAUUGCGCUACUGGGAAUUUGGCCUGAUUUUCUUUCUAAUCUGCUAAGCCAGGGAGGACUUCAAGAUCAAGGUCUAGAGCACCAACGCAGUCAGGCUCAGAUCUGGAGCUGCUUUUCCUUAGAACAAUGAAGACAGAAAUAUUUGUCUUUUUAUAGCGACAUAUAAUAGGAUUGACAAGCAGUUAAAAAUAAGGCAAGAUAAGGCAAGCUCAGAACUAACUGAAUAAAUCACCUGUAGGAUUUGUUGACAAGCCUUCGUGACAGAGAGACUUUGAAUGGAGGCCGCACACCUGCAGCAAUGGGGAAACCCCGACCGUGUGGUUCAGGGUCUUUUCCUGCAGCACCUUUCUUCACCGAAAUAGCCGGGUAUCACACUCACACACAUAUCUACGUAAAAGAUGAAACUCGCUAUUAAGUAAUGAAUUUGAAGAAAAGAAAGAACACAAUCAAGUGAUCACAGUGGGACCGCGUGCAAGGUCUGUGUUUGCUGCAGGACAGAAACCGGACUGGAGAAGAGCUUCCAUCAAAAGCAAACACUGUGGAGGAAGACAGACGAGAGUGUGGCUGGAAGGCAGCGCGUCGGAUGGAGUGUUCUGGAUGCAUUUGCAUUUCUGCCAGACAGAGGCUAAGGUAGUUCCUAAAGCUGGACAAAUGGGUAAUGCAAAUAAAAAGUAAAAGCAUCACAUCGCAAAGAGCAAUGACUUCAGUAGUCUAGCUAAGACAUUGGGAACAGAGAGUUGCCCUUCUGGGUUAUGGCCACAAUAAACUAAUCCCAGUGAUGACUUCUGUGACCACAGAACUGCUGGGCUCCUUCCCCAGCUCAGCUCCCACCCCAACCCCAUCUUCAUAACCAUUCUCUUGCAUAAAGCUCAACUCCUUUGUCCUGCUAGUCGUCCCAUUGGCUUACCCAGGAAAGUCCAACCCUGUUGGUGUUUUAAAAAUAAAAUGUUAUGCCUUUUCCUCAAAA